UAUGUGGUUGGUCCGAGUAUGUUGAUUAUUUGAAGUCCGUGGAACCAGCUCAACCAAAAAAAUCCGAGCUUGAUAUGUAUCUUCAAGAAAAUUGUUAUAUGUCCAAUAAAGAAGAUGGACGAGAAUUUGAUGUUUUGGAGUGGUGGAGAGUUCAUGCCUUGAAAUACAAAAUAUUAUCAGUAAUGGCAAAAGACAUUUUAGCCAUUCCGAUCACCACAGUUGCUUCAGAGGCUUCUUUUAGCGCUGGAAGUAGAGUAAUCGACAAAUAUCGUGCCUCAUUGGCUCCGGAUACAGUGCAAGUUUUGAUGUGUGGAGGAGAUUGGUUGAGAAAAAAAUUUGGGGUAAAAAAUAAGUCCAAGGUAAAAUUAGAAUAAUUGAUUGAAUUAUUCAUUAUUUUUAUGUCUUUGUUUAGUAUUCUUUGUUUUGCGUUGCAGAAUGAGAAGAAAGCAAUACAAGUUUUUCUUCCGGUUGAUGAUGAUGUUCCGAAAUCAUGAUUGACGUGGAUUAUGUGUUGCAUUAAUUUAAAAACCAUAAUUUUUGUAAGUGGAUUAGAGUACUCAAGUAUAAUCUGCCAAGUUUGAAGGAUAAUGGAGUUUGGAGUGCACAAAUGCAUUUUGGAUAUCA